GAUGGUUUGCUGGCAGGCACUACACUGGACGACGCCUCUGACAGAGGCCCAGAAGCGCUGUCGUCGCAAAGUGAACCUGCUAGCCUCCACCUGGAUCCACUUGGUGUAGAAUGCCCAAUCCCAGAAAGAGACCGAGCAUGCAAGAGCAGCACAUUGGCCACGGCAAGGGAAACUCUGCAUUUGGAUGUGUCGCCCAAUGAUGCCUCCGAAAAAGACCGAGACCAUGAGGCAUCACAUACUGGACCUUCUGUCAUCCAAGUGGAUCCAGCUAGUGCAGAAUGCCCAAUCUCAGAAAGGGACCGCACAUGGAAGAACAGCACGUUAUCCAC